UACGUAGGGUGCGAGCGUUAAUCGGAAUUACUGGGCGUAAAGCGUGCGCAGGCGGUUCGUCGUGUCCGAUGUGAAAGCCCCGGGCUCAACCUGGGAAUGGCAUUGGAAACUGGCGGACUCGAGUGUGGCAGAGGGGGGUGGAAUCCCGCGUGUAGCAGUGAAAUGCGUAGAGAUGCGGAGGAACACCGAUGGCGAAGGCAGCCCCCUGGGCUAACACUGACGCUCAGGCACGAAAGCGUGGGGAGCAAACAGG
rnacentral:rRNA from 1 species